rnacentral:tRNA from 1 species
GGUAGCGUGGCCGAGCGGUCCAAGGCGCUGGUUUAAGGCACCAGUCUCUUCAGGGGCAUGGGUUCGAAUCCCAUCGCUGCCA